UAGGGAAUCUUCCACAAUGGGCGAAAGCCUGAUGGAGCAACGCCGCGUGUGUGAUGAAGGGUUUCGGCUCGUAAAACACUGUUGUAAGAGAAGAAAGACAUUGAGAGUAACUGUUCAAUGUGUGACGGUAUCUUACCAGAAAGGAACGGCUAAAUACGUGCCAC
rnacentral:rRNA from 1 species